CCCCUCCUUCUUCCCUGACCCUGGUGUCUGCAGGGUUGUUUCUUACAUAUCUUCACUCCUCUUUCCAACAGCUGUUGCCCAGCAAUUUUUAUUCCCUUCCCGUAUUAUCUCAGACACACUGCUGGUAUCCCUGAUGUGCUUGGCCUUGACCAAUGUUGGUUCUAUCUUGGAGUCAGCUGGCAUUGUCUCCAUCAGACAUGGGGGAGACUUCUCACAGAAGGUCUGCUCCUCCCCCAGCUCCCACCCCAACACUGCCACGCAAACCAAACACAAUCUGAAACAUUAUCUGCUUCUCAGUAUCCUCCAGAGAAAAUUCACACAGUGUAAAGAUCAGGGGAUAAAAUCAAAUGCUAGACUAUAGACAGCAAGAAAAGCUGAUGAAAAAGUAGAGAAUUCUCUUUUACAAAGAAUUAAUCCUUAAUAAAUUCAAUAUUUGGGCAUUUGCAGGGGAAAAAAAAAAAAAGAAGCGGAUUGGUUUUCUUAUCCCCAGAACUUCCUUGUGUUUCAUUUUCAAGAUGCUUUGGAGAAACAUCAGAUGGAGAAAAUCUGGUCUUUGCAAGAAUAUUUUAAAAAGUAUCAACAGUUAGAAAGUAAGAAGCAGUGAUGAGAGUUUCCACAGAAACCAGGAGAGUAGAUACAAAAAUCUUUGGAAAAAAUCAGAACAGGACAGGAGUUGAACCCAACCUUGACCCUGAGUGCUGGAAGAGGAUCCAAAACCAAGAGAAGACAAAACCUGUGCUAAACACGAAGAUCUUUAGUUACCAAACCACAAGAAACACCUAUAUAUAAUAGAAUUAUGAAGUAUGAUGGCUUCAAUAUUUGCCUAUCAUCUCCAAUAAGCAGUAAAACCAAUCUGGGCUGCUUUUCAGAAAAUGUUUACACUGCUGCAUGACUGCAGCUAACAUCCUGCAUGAGUCAAUGCAGAAUAAUUGAUGGAAAUUGAGGAACUGACAAAAUAACGGAGAAAAGUCUGAGAACUUCAUGUUUCUUAUUAUCUGUAAGGCUGGAUAUCUGGACUCGCUAAUCUAAGAAGUGACUUUCCAGGAAAAAAAAAGUCUGCAGAAAAAAAUCCAGAAGGAAAAAGCAGCCCUUCUACCUGUGGUUCUUGGGAGAAAAGGAAAAAAAAAUAAAAAGAAUGAAAGAAAAAGGAACCUGAUUCAUCUGACUGAGAAGUAUUUCAUCUGCAAAUCAUUGAGGACAGCCUGCAGUCCAUGCCCAAGAAAGGAGCAGGAGAGACGCCAAGGAUGACACCUUCUUUCAAAGCUGAUAAUGGAAUGGAGACUCCAUUCCUGUUUUUCUGAUUAAGUUUUUGGGGGUGAUUCGUAAUAAUAGAGUGAGGGAGAUGGCUUUUGGACUGUUUCUUCCCUCAGCUCUGUCUGUCUUCACAUCAUCACAUUUCCAGGAAGAAGAAUUGGCUGAAAAAUGACUCUGAAUGCAAGGGCAAUGAUAUGAAACUGAAAGAAACCACAGCUCAAUCGUCUGCCUUCCACUUAAUUUUUCAUACAAAUUUAAGGUCAGGUUGUGGCCUGGUAACCAGUGAGGUGUAUGUAACAUUAGAACAGUAAUACUCUGAAACUGAUUAUGAAGAGAAACCAGGAAGAAUGGACUGGAGCCUGCUCUUGGUUAAACUAAAACUAAAUCAACUCUAUUACUGUAUGAAGUAAUGCACCUCUUCAGAUUUAUACUAUUGAUAAGAAAAUGAGGAAUACAUCAGAGGAUAACAGUGGCACACUUAUGCUACGCUUUCAAUAAAAUUAUUUUUUAUGUUUAUGUA